rnacentral:rRNA from 1 species
GAUGAACGCUGGCGGCGUGCCUAAUACAUGCAAGUCGAGCGAACGGACGAGAAGCUUGCUUUUCUGAUGUUAGCGGCGGACGGGUGAGUAACACGUGGAUAACCUACCUAUAAGACUGGGAUAACUUCGGGAAACCGGAGCUAAUACCGGAUAAUAUUUUGAACCGCAUGGUUCAAAAGUGAAAGACGAUCUUGCUGUCACUUAUAGAUGGAUCCGCGCUGCAUUAGCUAGUUGGUAAGGUAACGGCUUACCAAGGCAACGAUGCAUAGCCGACCUGAGAGGGUGAUCGGCCACACUGGAACUGAGACACGGUCCAGACUCCUACGGGAGGCAGCAGUAGGGAAUCUUCCGCAAUGGGCGAAAGCCUGACGGAGCAACGCCGCGUGAGUGAUGAAGGUCCUCGGAUCGUAAAACUCUGUUAUUAGGGAAGAACAUAUGUGUAAGUAACUGUGCACAUCUUGACGGUACCUAAUCAGAAAGCCACGGCUAACUACGUG